AUCCAGAUGACGAGUCCAAAAUAGGACGAAGUUAGAGUCUUAGAU
rnacentral:hammerhead_ribozyme from 1 species